rnacentral:pre_miRNA from 17 species
CGCGACGCUCCUUUCUUAUGGCUCCCAGUGUCAUUUUUGUGAUUUGCAGCUAGUAAUCUCAAGGUCCAGUUGCAUAGUCACAAAAGUGAUCAUUGGCAGCUGUGCCUGCUGCAUGGUGCAU